AACGAACGCUGGCGGCAGGCCUAACACAUGCAAGUCGAACGCUUCAGCAAUGAAGAGUGGCAGACGGGUGAGUAACGCGUGGGAACCUUCCCAGUGGUACGGAAUAGCCCAGGGAAACUUGGGGUAAUACCGUAUACGCCCUUUUGGGGAAAGAUUUAUCGCCAUAGGAUGGGCCCGCGUCGGAUUAGCUUGUUGGUAGGGGUAAUGGCCUACCAAGGCAACGAUCCGUAGCUGGUCUUAGAGGAUGAUCAGCCACACUGGGACUGAGACACGGCCCAGACUCCUACGGGAGGCAGCAGUGGGGAAUAUUGGACAAUGGGCGAAAGCCUGAUCCAGCCAUGCCGCGUGAGUGACGAAGGCCUUAGGGUUGUAAAACUCUUUUGGCGGGGACGAUAAUGACGGUACCCGCAGAAUAAGCCCCGGCUAACUUCGUG
rnacentral:rRNA from 1 species